GAUGAACGCUGGCGGCGUGCCUAAUACAUGCAAGUCGAGCGGAAGGACGCGACGCUUGCUUCUCUGAUGUUAGCGGCGGACGGGUGAGUAACACGUGUAUCACCUCCCUAUAAGACUGGGAUCACUUCGGAAAACCGGCGCUAAUAGCGUAUGAUAUUUUGAUCCGCGUUGUGCAAUAGUGAGUUACGGUCUUUCUGUCACUUCUCGCUGGUUCCGCGCUGCAUUAGCUAGUUGGUGAGGUCACGGCUUACUAAGGCAACGAUGCAUAGACGAAGUGAGAGGGUGAUCGGCCACACGGGAACUGAGACACGGUCAAGACGCCUAAGGGAGGCAGCAGUAGGGAAUGGUACGCAAUGGGAGAAAGCAUGACGGAGCAACGGCGCGUGAGUGAUGAAGGUCUUCGGAUCGUAAAACUCUGUUAUUAGGGAAGAACAGAUGUGGAAGUAACUGUGCACAUAGUGACGGUACUUAAUCAGAAAGCCACGGCUAACUACGUG
rnacentral:rRNA from 1 species